rnacentral:tRNA from 1 species
UAAGUCGUAGCUAAAUUUAAGUACUCCAGUUACGUUGGAGUGAUUACCUGACAGGUACUUCUUAA